AUUGAACGCUAGCGGGAUGCUUUACACAUGCAAGUCGAACGGCAGCGCGGACUUCGGUCUGGCGGCGAGUGGCGAACGGGUGAGUAAUGUAUCGGAACGUGCCCAGUAGCGGGGGAUAACUACGCGAAAGCGUAGCUAAUACCGCAUACGCCCUACGGGGGAAAGCAGGGGAUCGUAAGACCUUGCACUAUUGGAGCGGCCUAUAUCGGAUUAGCUAGUUGGUGAGGUAACGGCCCACCAAGGCGACGAUCCGUAGCUGGUUUGAGAGGACGACCAGCCACACUGGGACUGAGACACGGCCCAGACUCCUACGGGAGGCAGCAGUGGGGAAUUUUGGACAAUGGGGGAAAGCCUGAUCCAGCCAUCCCGCGUGUGUGAUGAAGGCCUUCGGGUUGUAAAGCACUUUUGGCAGGAAAGAAACGUCGCGGGCUAAUACCCCGUGGAAUUGACGGUACCUGCAGAAUAAGCACCGGCUAACUACGUG
rnacentral:rRNA from 1 species